rnacentral:rRNA from 1 species
CAGUGGGGAAUUUUGGACAAUGGGGGCAACCCUGAUCCAGCAAUGCCGCGUGCAGGAAGAAGGCCUUCGGGUUGUAAACUGCUUUUGUACGGAACGAAAAGGCUCUGGUUAAUACCUGGGGCACAUGACGGUACCGUAAGAAUAAGCACCGGCUAACUACGUGCCAGCAGCCGCGGUAAUACGUAGGGUGCAAGCGUUAAUCGGAAUUACUGGGCGUAAAGCGUGCGCAGGCGGUGCUGUAAGACAGGCGUGAAAUCCCCGGGCUUAACCUGGGAAUGGCGCUUGUGACUGCAGUGCUGGAGUGUGGCAGAGGGGGAUGGAAUUCCGCGUGUAGCAGUGAAAUGCGUAGAUAUGCGGAGGAACACCGAUGGCGAAGGCAAUCCCCUGGGCCUGCACUGACGCUCAUGCACGAAAGCGUGGGGAGCAAACAGGAUUAGA